ensembl:snoRNA Snord107 small nucleolar RNA, C/D box 107
GGUUCAUGAUGACACAGGAACUUGUCUGACCAUAAUGAUUUCAAAAGUGGAGCUUAAAGUGAUACUCUGAAGUC